AACGCGAAGAACCUUACCUGGGCUCGAAAUGUAGUGGAUCGGGGUAGAAAUAUCCCUUUCUCGCAAGAGACUGCUAUAUAGGUGCUGCAUGGCUGUCGUCAGCUCGUGUCGUGAGAUGUUGGGUUAAGUCCCGCAACGAGCGCAACCCUUAUUGCCAGUUGCCACCGGGUUAUGCCGAGCACUCUGGCGAAACCGCACAGGAUAACUGUGAGGAAGGUGGGGAUGACGUCAAGUCCUCAUGGCCUUUAUGUCCAGGGCUACACACGUGCUACAAUGGUCGGUACAAACCGUCGCAAACCCGCGAGGGGGAGCUAAUCGGAAAAAGCCGGCCUCAGUUCGGAUUGGAGUCUGCAACCCGACUCCAUGAAGCUGGAAUCGCUAGUAAUCGCGGAUCAGAACGCCGCGGUGAAUACGUUCCCGGGCCUUGUACACACCGCUCGCGA
rnacentral:rRNA from 1 species